GUCCCUGUAACGCAAUGCAUAGUGCGUUGGAUUUCUAAUCCAAAGGUCGUGGAUUCGAAUCCCAUCUGGGAUG
rnacentral:tRNA from 1 species